rnacentral:misc_RNA from 1 species
CAACCCUUAAGCCCCUGUUGCUUAGCGUUGGGAGCCUACAGCACUGUAGCUCCCCAAAGUUAGUGGCGGAGUCGGUCUCACACUCUAGACGUAGUAAAUCUAUCUCGUCUGUAGUUGGGCCGGUCCCCUGCCGUAAAACCCCCUAAUUUUUAAA